GGUCCCAACACAGGAGAGCAAGCUCCGUCCACACCCCAAUCCGCAGCAGGCGACAUGAACACUGGAGGCGGCAUUUCAACGGCAUCGGCAUCCAUAGCAGGCGUGUCAACCAACAAGAACAUGAGCUGCACCGUCCUGACAGGCACCUUCACCGGCCAGAGCGCUCUCGGCUGGUACCUCCUGUCGAAGCCCAAGAAGACUAAGGAGGUCAUUGACUGA
rnacentral:rRNA from 1 species